AUUAUUCUAAUUAAAAAGAGAUUCAUCAUUAUCAACUUGCAGUAUAAGGCCAAAAUAUUUAAAAAGCAAAAUGUAUUAUUUGACCUGCUUAAAUACAAAUUAGUGGGCCUUACCGCUGCGGAAAAAACCCCAGUUUUCUGCAACUUUAUUCAUUUGGAUUAAACGCUAAUGAUGAUGCUCAAGAAUUUAAAUUCAAUUCACAUAAUUAACAUAAACAAUGUGGCAAUUCUAUUACCUUAGGCAGAAAAUUCAGAUUCUGGUGUUGAUGCGGGGAAAAAGGGAUUUUGGGCGGAGAUGAAAUUAUUUUAAGGAAUUGUUAUGAGGUAAGAAUUUUGAGACCUGUUCAGUUUUAAU
rnacentral:lncRNA from 1 species